GAUGAACGCUGGCGGCGUGCUUAACACAUGCAAGUCGAACGAUAAAGCCCAGCUUGCUGGGUGGUCUAGUGGCGAACGGGUGAGUAACACGUGAGUAACCUGCCCUUCACUCUGGGAUAAGCCUGGGAAACUGGGUCUAAUACCGGAUAGGAGCGUCCACCGCAUGGUGGGUGUUGGAAUGAUUUCUCGGUUUUGGGUGGUCUCGCCGCAUAUCCGCGUGUGUGUGGGGUUAUGGUUCACAAACGCGACGACGUGUAGCCGGCCUGAGAGGGUGAGCGGCCACACUGGGAGUGAGACACGGCCCAGACUCCUGCGGGGGGGAGCAGUGGGGAAUAUUGCACAAUGGGCGAAAGCCAUGUGCAGCGGCGCCGCGUGAGGGAUAGCGGCCUUCGGGUUGUAAACCUCUUUCAGUAGGGAAGAAGCGAAAGUGACGGUACCUGCAGAAGAAGCACCGGCUAACUACGUG
rnacentral:rRNA from 1 species